GUAGGUGGCAAGCGUUGUCCGGAAUUAUUGGGCGUAAAGCGCGCGCAGGCGGUCCUUUAAGUCUAAUGUGAAAGCCCACGGCUCAACCGUGGAGGGUCAUUGGAAACUGGGGGACUUGAGUACAGAAGAGGAAAGCGGAAUUCCAAGUGUAGCGGUGAAAUGCGUAGAGAUUUGGAGGAACACCAGUGGCGAAGGCGGCUUUCUGGUCUGUAACUGACGCUGAGGCGCGAAAGCGUGGGGAGCAAACAGGAUUAGAUACCCUGGUAGUCCACGCCGUAAACGAUGAGUGCUAAGUGUUAGGGGGUUUCCCGCCCCCCUUAGUGCUGCAGCUAACGCAUUAAGCACUCCGCCUGGGGAGUACGGCCGCAAGGCUG
rnacentral:rRNA from 1 species